rnacentral:RNase_P_RNA from 1 species
UGAUAAGUUUGAGUGAUCGCGUGUUUUUGGGCUUUUGCCCAUGAAUACGAGGAAAGUCCGGACACCACGGAAAAUGGUACCCGUCGAAGGCGGGCGUAUGAGUCAUAAUUCAUAAAACUCAUAUAGGGAAAGUGCCACAGAGACUAUACUAUCUUCGCCUCUGGCGAGGAGAAAGGUGAAAAGCCAUGGGCCACCCAUGGACACCCCUCACGGGGAAGUUGGUAAACCCUGCUUGGUGAAAGGUGAGAUGGAAAGAUGUGCAUCCCUCCAAAUGUUUGUACAUUUUCUCACCGCGAGACUCUGAAAAAUUGCUUCAUGGCAAGGACCAGAGCUAGAAAGAUGAUUACACCUCCACCUUGGUGGAGGAACAAAAUCCGGCUUAUGAUAACUUAUCAAGGG